rnacentral:rRNA from 1 species
UACGUAGGGAGCAAGCGUUGUCCGGAAUCAUUGGGCGUAAAGCGCGUGUAGGCGGCCCGAAAAGUCUGGUGUGAAAUCUUAAGGCUCAACCUUAAGCUGUCACUGGAUACUGUCGGGCUUGAGUCCGGAAGAGGAGAGUGGAAUUCCUGGUGUAGCGGUGGAAUGCGCAGAUAUCAGGAGGAACACCUAUGGCGAAGGCAGCUCUCUGGUACGUGACUGACGCUGAGACGCGAAAGCGUGGGGAGCGAACAGG